GAAUUAACUACAUCGGCUGUUUUCCUACUCUCCGCAUCGACCAAUGUGGCGCUAGCUUCUAUGCGCGAAAAAUCGCUAAAAGUAAAUCGCAAAAAUAUUGUAUGGCGAAUACAAUCUAAAGGCAAAUUUCUCGAAGUGGAACACAUUAUUCGAAAAAAUAUUUGGUAGUGGUUGUGCACAAUGGUAACCACUAUUAAGGCUACCAAAUAUUUUUUCGGGAAAAGCUUUCUAUUUCAAGUAAUUCGAGUUUAGAUGCAUUUCGCCAUACAAAAUUAAAUUGAUUUACUCCUGCUGAUCAACUGUGGCUGCGUGCAAAGCGGGUAGUCCAUUCAUUGAUUUACUCCUGCUGAUCAACUGUGGCUGCGCGCAAAGCAGAUAGUCCAUUGAAAGUUCUUGACCAGCCAAACAACUUUGUCGAGGACACCAACUGUCUAAAUAAUAAGGAUCUUAAAAUAUAUGGGGUGGAAAUUAUGUCAGUGUUGCGUCUGUCUGACUCAUAUAUCGCAGGACCUUGAUUACUUGGAGAGUUGUUUAACUUUUCACGGAUCUUCCGUUUCAAAGUCGUUUGGUGUAAGGUUCUACUUGCCUAGUGGUAGUUGAAAUUUUGAAAAAUCAGGUACAUUAUAUCUAUUCAAAAAAGAAAUGUUGUAACUUUUGAAAAAGUUUUCAAAAAUGUUUACAUUUUGACUGAUAGUUUCUCAACUAGUCAAAACUUGUAGGGAACUUUUUUGAGAAAUUCUAAUCAUUUGCAAACCAUUAUAAACUUUUAAUGAAUUAACUACAUCGGCUGUUUUCCUACUCUCCGCAUCGACCAAUGUGGCGCUAGCUUCUAUGCGCGAAAAAUCGCUAAAAGUAAAUCGCAAAAAUAUUGUAUGGCGAAUAGCAUCUAAAGGCAAAUUCAUCGAAGUGGAAUACGUUAUUCGAAAAAAUAUUUGGUAGUGGUUGUGCACAAUGGUGACUACUAUUAAGCCUACCAAAUAUUUUUUCAGUAAAAGCUUUCUAUUUCAAGUAAUUCAAGUUUAGAUGCUUUUCACCAUACAAAAUAAAAUGGAUUUACUCCUGCUGAUCAACUGUGGGUGUGCGCCAAGCGGGUAGUCCAUUGGCGUCGCCCAGUGGCAAAAUCUCACGUCCAAUGGUAAAUCAGCUGUAAGUCUUUGACUUAUCAAAUAACUCUGCGAAACACACUCUCUAAAUAAUUAAGAUUUUUUAUCACUGUUAGGUCAAUUUGUCUCUUAGAUCACAGAAGUUAAUCUUAGGAUCGUAAGUGGUAUGCAAAUCCUCUGGUAUGACUUUGGUUCAAUAAAUUAUCGCACACAUCUUAAAGAGUUUUUACUUGAAUUGAUGACAUAGCAUAGAUUAUUGAAUAAAUGUUUAUCUCGACGGCGUGAUAAGUUCUAUGCCGAAAAAUUUAAAUAUCUGGCGGUGCGAAGUAAUGGAUCUCAGGGGUCUAGUCUUUGGAAUAAAAUUAGAAGAAUAUGGGUGGUACUAAGCCGAAGAUGGGUGCCGGUGUCAUUAACCUUCAUGAAGGAGUAUUCAUACUGCUGAUAGCAAUAACUUGGUUUUCCGAGCCAUUUAUCAUAUAACGGAUUUUCAAUAGCAUAAGGUUCCCCUUGAAGCAGUUAAGAUAAUGCAGUAAUAUAUUCACAAAUUCGGGCAGAUUUGUGACGUCACAACGCUAGCAGAACCCUGUAUGAAACUGAACGGGCGUUGUAACGUCACGAAAUGUAAAAGUCGAUUAUCCAAAAACAAAUCCGAAAUUUAUAUAUUUUAUUUCAUUGAAUUGAAGAACAAACCAAUAAAUUUCAAUGGUGGAAAAAAAAUUCAGAAUAACAUAAAAAUCAGAGCAGAUGUUUUAAAAUGCUGGUUGCGCGGUGAAAGGGUCGGAUUCUAGCGCGUUGUAACGUUACGCUACAAAUACGCAUUUUAACCACGUUUUCCUGAUGAUAACAAACUGUUCAAUAGGUCAAAUAUAUCAGAAAUUUUGCAAGGAAUCCGAAUAUGAGAAAAUAUUUUGAGGUUUACAAUCGUUUUUAUGAGUUAUAGUGGAAAAUCUGGCAACGAAUGCGUCAAAGUUGUAACGUCACGGUAGAAUGUGUCACCUAAAAUGAAUUUCAAUGAGAUUUUUUCAUAUCACCUUUUGACAGCUGGGUAACUGCUUGACAGCUCCGCCCCCCAGUACUAAAUGCGACGAGGGGUGAUGAAAAUGUGGAAUUUGGCUCAGUUUUCCGUGCAGAUUUAGAAUAUGGUCUUAUCUCAAUACCUAACGUCGGGCGUAGUGUACUGGGCAGCGGAUCUGGCCCUCUAUGCACUUAUCCACGGUCUUCUUUUUUCCCCGAGUUGAUUCUUCUUUUUUUCUGGAAAUGCGGUCGCUGUUUACAUAAAAUGGCACAUUCAUGAACAAGGCCCGCAGUUACCGUUUCACAUCUUGCCGUUCGUUGGCGUGUGACGUCACCGUGGACAAGUUCAUCCAGCGCACUUCCCCCGACGUACGUACGACACACGGUUUAGUAGUAAAAUCGAUUUACGCGUGUCAAAAAAUCCGAUUUUCAACUGCACGAACAAUACCAUAGGGUAUAUCUUCAAUGAUCCAUUUCUUUUCAUAUUAUUCCGGCCAAGUUAAUAAACAAAGCUCGUAUGAUAAGAGCGUGAUAUGAUUAUAGUCAAAUAUCGAGUACGAUCUGAGGUUCCCAUAUUUGCAACACCAUCGCGAUGACGAAUAAUUUCACCGUCGCCCCAUCCGCCCUUGACCUUUCGGUGUGCGCCUAAGGGUGCUAUUACAUUCUUUGCCCAGACGCCAAAUAUUUGACCACUUUUGACAGAUAAAUUUUGGCAGGUUGUUUGACUCUGCUUGUCCCUAUUCGUUUUUCGAGAGUGACAAAUAUUUUUGUUUGCCAGGUACACCUUGGUCAUAAUUUAAGUGUCAAAAGUGGUCAAAUAUUUGGCAUUGGUCAAAGAGUGUCAUACUAGCUUAAGGAGGAGUGUUGGAGUAAAGUAGUGACAGCCCCCUGGUACCAGAAUUAUAAUGACGAUGAAUGAUGAUGACUGAUGAGAUUUGUGUGAGUGUGUAUGUGUAUAAGUACCGACGAAGCAUAUUGCUGAAUUGUGUUGAUUGUUUUGUUUUAAUCAUUAGUCCGUACUACUUGUUGGAAGUUAGGUAGCGUUGAACGCUCGGGUAGCGUCGAACCUUCAGGUACGGGUUUGGAGUGUUGGAGCGAGGUAGAUUUGUUGGCGUAGGUAUGUUGAAGAUAGUCAAAUUGUAUAUACCUGGAAUGAAUAAAGAGUGUGGCGGUUGCAGAUUGAGGUAUCAGUCGGCAGCCGUCUAGUUUGAUGGAAGAUGUCUAGCGUUUUAUUUUCAUUGUAAUUUAGAAACAGUCAUCGAUGGAGCUAGCCUCGCUAUGGCCUUCAUGGCUAUGGUGGACUAGCCUCCAACAGGUUAUGGGCCCAGGAGCGUGUUCCACAGCACGUAUCGACCGGGAGAAGGAUCGGCCGCAUAAGUCGCGGAGUCGCAGCACGGGAUCCUUGGGCGGAUGGAUUGGCUGCAACGGAGGACAGGAUCCAUGGGAAUGUUGGCGAUACGGGUCAACUGGAUGACUGCUGGCUGGUCACCGGACGGAGCUCGAGGAUUGUUGGAUCGGAUGCAGCUCGGUGGUCGCAUCUGGACGAAGAGGUUGGCGAAAGGAGGAGUGAUCCGGAGGACAACAUGAAGGUGGAGCUCGGAGAUGGACCUGGUCGGAGCUCGGAACUGGUGUAGAGCUGGUGCAAGCGUCGGAGUUGGGCCACUUGCCAAGCGUUGGAGUGAGGAGGAGCUUCGAGCCAGGAGGAGGUGAUCGUGUUUCGAAGGUUGCGACGCUAAGGAGGAGUGUUGGAAGUUAGGUAGCGUUGAACGCUCGGGUAGCGUCGAACCUUCAGGUACGGGUUUGGAGUGUUGGAGCGAGGUAGAUUUGUUGGCGUAGGUAUGUUGAAGAUAGUCAAAUUGUAUAUACCUGGAAUGAAUAAAGAGUGUGGCGGUUGCAGAUUGAGGUAUCAGUCGGCAGCCGUCUAGUUUGAUGGAAGAUGUCUAGCGUUUUAUUUUCAUUGUAAUUUAGAAACAGUCAUCGAUGGAGCUAGCCUCGCUAUGGCCUUCAUGGCUAUGGUGGACUAGCCUCCAACACUACUCACUGUUUGUAAAUAGAUGUUGUCGAUAACGCAAUCGUAGAGUGUAAUUAAUUUGAUGAAUCACGAAUAUCCCGGGACGGCUCUUUGGUCGGUCUGUUCGCUUGUGAGACCGUGCGCUGGGAUUCUAACAACAGCUUUUGUAUGGUGCCAGUUUGGUGUAUCUGUUACUUUUGAUUUUGGCUAGAUACGUCGUUUGGUUUUCUCAUAUAUCAAAACGGUGUAUCUAUCAGUAAAGUUGUAAACAUCAAAAUAGUUAGAUAC